rnacentral:rRNA from 1 species
UACGAAGGGGGCUAGCGUUGUCCGGAUUCAUUGGGCGUAAAGCGCGCGUAGGCGGCCGCUUAAGUCGGAUGUGAAAGCCCCUGGCUCAACUGGGGAAGUGCACCCGAAACUGAGUGGCUUGAGUACCAAAGAGGGUCGCGGAAUUCCCGGUGUAGAGGUGAAAUUCGUAGAUAUCGGGAGGAACACCGGUGGCGAAGGCGGCGACCUGGGUGGAUACUGACGCUGAGGCGCGAAAGCGUGGGGAGCAAACAGG